AAGCGCUUCAAGUCAGAUAUGGCUUUGAAUGUUCAGCCUUUAGGUGUAUUCAUUUUUUGUCAGGCCAGCAUCGAUUUUGAACGUCGGAUAAGGGUAGAAAGAACGUAGCAUACUCUCGGGUAUGUGUUAUAGCUUUUUACUGGAUACGACGAUCGGGAUCGAGGUUCGCAGCACACCCUUUUUUGGGCAGGUCUUCGGACACUUUUUGUGCUUAGGAUGCUGGCGUAAUGGCUUGAAGCGA
rnacentral:rRNA from 1 species